CAGUAGCCGCGGUAAUACGUAGGGUGCAAGCGUUAAUCGGAAUUACUGGGCGUAAAGCGUGCGUAGGCGGUUCGUUAAGUCUGUUGUGAAAGCCCCGGGCUCAACCUGGGAAUGGCAAUGGAUACUGGCGAGCUAGAGUGUGUCAGAGGAUGGUGGAAUUCCCGGUGUAGCGGUGAAAUGCGUAGAGAUCGGGAGGAACAUCAGUGGCGAAGGCGGCCAUCUGGGACAACACUGACGCUGAGGCACGAAAGCGUGGGGAGCAAACAGGAUUAGAUACCCCUGUAGUCCCUGUCUCUUAUAC
rnacentral:rRNA from 1 species